UACGUAGGGUGCGAGCGUUGUCCGGAAUUAUUGGGCGUAAAGGGCUCGUAGGCGGUUUGUCGCGUCGGGAGUGAAAACCCAGGGCUCAACCCUGGGCCUGCAUUCGAUACGGGCAGACUAGAGUAUGGCAGGGGAGACUGGAAUUCCUGGUGUAGCGGUGAAAUGCGCAGAUAUCAGGAGGAACACCGGUGGCGAAGGCGGGUCUCUGGGCCAAAACUGACGCUGAGGAGCGAAAGCGUGGGGAGCGAACAGG
rnacentral:rRNA from 1 species